UAACUUCAGCUCAGCCGCGGUGACUGCGGGAGUUUGGCCGGCAGGGUCCGCGCAGAGUCUGUGUGAGGCUGGUUCGGCGUGGAAGAUGGCGGUGCCCGAGCCGUCGAUGCAGUUGUCUCGAGGAGGCCCAGGCUCCGCUUCCCUCUCUCCGACCCGGGGCGACCGCACCCUCCUCGUCAGGCACCUGCCGGCCGAGCUGACGGCUGAAGAGAAGGAGGACUUACUGAAGUACUUCGGGGCGCAGUCAGUGCGUGUCCUGUCAGAUAAAGGGCGCCUGAAACAUACAGCAUUUGCUACUUUCCCUAAUGAAAAAGCAGCAGUAAAGGCAUUGACAAGACUCCAUCAGCUGAAACUUCUAGGUCAUACUUUAGUUGUUGAAUUUGCAAAAGAGCAAGAUCGAGUUCAUUCCCCAUGUCCCACCUCCAAUACAGAGAAAAAGAAAAGGUUGGAUGACACUGUGGAAAAUGAAAAAGAGAAGAAAGAGCCUGACGUUUUAACAGUAGAAAAUGGAAUUGCACCAAAUCAUGGGCUGACUUUUCCUCUAAAUUCAUGUCUCAAGUAUAUGUAUCCACCACCUUCAAGCACAAUCCUUGCAAAUAUAGUAAAUGCUCUGGCAAGUGUCCCUAAAUUCUAUGUACAGGUGCUUCAUCUUAUGAAUAAAAUGAAUUUACCCACACCAUUUGGACCGGUUACUGCACGACCUCCUAUGUAUGAGGACUACAUGCCAUUGCAUGCCCCUCUUCCACCUUCAUCCCCUCAACCUCCUGAGGAGCCUCCCUUACCAGAUGAGGAUGAGGAUUUAUCUAGUAAAGAAUCAGAAUAUGAAAGCAGUGAUGAGGAGGACCGACAGAGAAUGAACAAACUAAUGGAACUAGCAAAUCUUCAGCCCCAAAGACCCAAAACAGUAAAGCCACGCCACGUGAGAAAAAAACGAAAAAUAAAGGACAUGUUGAAUAUAACUUCAUCAGCUUCACAUAGUUUGCAUCCUGUGCUGUUACCUUCGGAUGUAUUUGACCAACCACAACCUGUAGGUAAUAAAAAAAUCGAAUUCAAUAUAUCGACCAACAUGCCUGCAGCAUUUACCAAAGAUUUGGAGACUCAACAAAGUAAUGAGGAAAAGAAUUCUGAUUCACCAGACACUGGACUUGAUGAUUCAAAUACAGGAUUUGGAAAAAUCUUCCCCAAACCUAAUUUGAACAUCACAGAAGAGAUUAAAGAAGACUCUGAUGAAAUGCCCUCACAGUUUAUUUCUAGAAGAGAGUUGGAAAAGGGUCGUAUUUCUAGAGAAGAAAUGGAAACCCUUUCAGUUUUCAGAAGUUAUGAACCUGGUGAACCAAACUGCAGAAUUUAUGUAAAGAAUUUAGCUAGGCACGUUCAGGAAAAGGACCUUAAAUUUAUCUUUGGAAGAUACGUUGACUUUUCUUCAGACACACAGCGGAUCAUGUUUGAUAUUCGCUUAAUGAAAGAAGGACGCAUGAAAGGACAAGCAUUUGUCGGACUUCCAAAUGAAAAAGCAGCAGCUAAAGCCUUGAAAGAAGCUAAUGGCUAUGUUCUUUUCGGAAAACCCAUGGUGGUUCAGUUUGCUCGAUCUGCUAGACCAAAACACGAUUCUAAAGAAGGAAAACGGAAGUGAUACAAACAAAUAAAGAAGCAUUCCUGCGUAAAUACUGCUGUAAUACUGUCAUACAAGUGUAUCCUUUCUUGUUGUAUCCUUUUGGGGCAGUGGUUUUGUUUUGUUUCAUUUUGUUUUCCAGAAGUGCUUUGUCUACCUUCUAUCAUUUAUCCAGAUUAAGUACUUUUUAUUCUUUAUUCAAAUGAUACAUUUCUCAAAUUAGUUUUGUUUCCUGGAAAAAUACCUUACAUGUAUUUUAGAUCCCCUGCUUAAUUUUCUAUGCUAUCAUAUAAGUCAGUGAGUUUCUAUCAGGGAAAGUUAGUGAAUCAGGUCACUUGGUAUAUACAAUUGCUUGAUCACAGAAUAUGGUAAUAUUUCUUGUAUAUGUGAAUUUCUUUAAUUUAAUUCAGGAACAUGCUUCCUGUUUUGUAUUAUAUCCCAUUUCGGUGUUGUUCCAGUUUCUUUUUUGAUGCUGUGAUAAAUACCCUGACAAAAAGCGACUUAGUGAAGAUGGAAUUUACUUGUCUUUCAAUUUACAGUUCAUUGCCGUGGGGAAGUCAAGGCAUGAAUGUAAAGCAUAAUGUCCACAAUCAAGAGCAGAGAGAGAAAAUAAAUCCAUAGCUUGCCUAGUCUGAGCUAGCUUUUUCCUGUUACACGCUGCUCAUGGUCCCCUUUCCUAAGGAAUGGUAUUACCCACAAUUGGUUGGACCUUACAUCAGUGAACAGUCAAAACUAUGGUUUCUUCUGAAUCCUGUAUCUUUCAAGUGGAACUUUUGAGAAAAGAAACUGACCAUUUGGACUAUGGAACUGUAUAAGAAAAUAACCUGAGAUUGAGAUAAUUUCUUUAGCUCAUACCUCUUAAAUGCCAAGAUUGACUUUGACUUCCACUGGGUUCUGGUAGAGUUUCAUGGUUCAGAGGUUUAGUCUAUCGUAAAUGUUGGAAGCAUGGUGGCAUGUAGGCAGACUUGGUACUGGAAAAGGAACUUAGAGUUCUACAUCUGGAUCAGCAGACAACAAGAAGUGAGAGUGAACCAUAGCCUGGCAUGAGAAUUUGAAACCUCAAGGCCCACCUCAAAGACCUGCUUCCUCCAGCAAGGCCACACCUGUUCCAACAAGAACACGUCUUAAUCCUUUCAAAUAAUACUACUCUAUAUGAGUGGGCCAUUUCCAUUCAUGGCACCAUAGCCUAGUCUUGUGUUCAUGUGUAGGAUAUGCAGCCCAGUGUCAAAGAUAGGAAGAUUUCUAGACUUCUACAUGAGCCUUUUUUCUUCAGUCUAAAGUUCCUUUCCAUUAUACUCUGUCAUCCUGAUGAUGAUGUCAUUAUUUAUGAACACAAAAAUAAGAGUUAUUACAGAGUAGAAGUACUGAUGAUGUCAUUUGAAUCUGUAGAAAAUACCCUAUCAGCUAAUUGAAUACUUAGAAUCAACUGCUUUAAACAAGUCCCUUACAUUUUACUAGAAGAAUUAUAAUUGGCUAAUUUGAUGUCAGAUGAUCAUGGAGGUGAAAUUUUCUGUUAAAUACAUGAGGAUGUUCUGUAAAGUAAAAGUGGCAUUAUGAAAUCAAGAGAGAAAACCAGGUAAUAGGUGCCUAAAAGGAGAUGCCUUACCUUGGUGUACAAUAUAUAAAGCUCAAUUGCAUGUUCUUUUCUGUUUAUACCACAUGUGGUGAGAUAUAUUGUGUGUGAUCUCUUAGGAUUAAAGGUUAAGAAAGUCAUUUCCACAAGAUUUUGAUAAUCAUAAUCAAAUAAUCUUAUAAUCUUGAGUAAGUAAAUCAUACAGAUAAGCCUUGAAGUUGCUGUUUCUUGGAAGGUUUUGUAAAGGAAACACUUUGAAAAUUAACAUAAAAAGAUACACAUCUGAAGAAGGAACAAAGGGGCAGAUUUUUACCAAGAUCUUUGAGAAUUAAAAAGUUAGAAAAUUCUUUGCACACUUGCAUGUAAUUUUCAAGAACUUAGAAAAAGAUUGCUUUGCAAGAUGAUGCUACCUUCUAUUGUUCACAUAACAGUAUCAAGGAAUAGCAACAUACACAGUAGCAACACGUAUGACUUGUAGAAAUGAUUAUACUAAGUCUGUACAUGUGUUUUAAUUCUAAAAUUAUGUUUAGAGAGUGAAUGUGGCGUAUGUCUAUUUCUGUAUUGUAUACACUCUGUUGCUGCAUGUAUUUUUCUCCAUAUUAUCUCAGUGAGAAAACAUUUUUUGAAAAAACUAAAAUGUUAACAAUUUACAACCUUAAAGAUCAUGCAAAGAAUGUCAUUUUUCAUAGCUGAAUUAAACUUGACUUCAGCAACAUAAAAAAUUUAAAGUUCUUCAAAUUUCUGAAUAUCAACAGAUUACUGAACAUGAAUCAAAGAAAGAUGAUGAAAUGAGAAAUUAUAAGAUGCAAUUAAAGGAUUAUCUAAAGGUUAUUUUAGAAUGAAGUUUAAUUACAAAUUGAUAGCGUUCUGCUUUCUGAAGCUAAAGGAAGUAAACAAGUAGAAGAAAAUAAUAAAAUUUAAAAAAAUAAACCCACAAAUAGGAACAGUAGGUGAAAAAGUGUAAACAAAUCUGAUUUGGAGAAAGAUGAAUAAAAUUGAACAGGUUCUAGCCACACUGCUGAGAAAAAGACCAAUAAGAAACACAGUUAAAAACAUCAUGAAAGGUUUCAUUGCAUAUCCAAAAAUUUCUGCAAACAUGUUGAACUCUUUUAGCAGAUAUAUCCACAACAUAAUGUGUAUAUAUCUAUGUAAUGAUCAUAAUCAAGACUACCAACUAAGAGUAGGAGGGGAAAAUAGGGAGCCGGGAGGAAGAGGAGGAGGAAUAAUGAUGAUAUUACAAUAAUGCCAUGGAUAUUAGGCACAAAGACAGUACAUUAUUCACAUAGAGCAUUCCCAUAAUAAUUGACAUGGAAAACUGAAGAAUUAGCUAAUGGGUUACACUGAGUGUUAAGAAUUACUAGAUUUAAAAAUGACAUGAAUUUUACUAGUGUCUGGCAGCAAGCUAUGAGAAAUUGAAAUUUCUUAUAAUGUAUUUCAAAUAUUACCAAUGUAAUAAAUAUUAUAAAUGUUAAAUUGUGCUUGACCUAAAUGCUGAAAACAACAUGGUUUACUGCUGUGUAUAUUAGAAGACUUUAGAAUGCCUGCCUUUCAUCCAUAUUCAAAUAUCACAGUUGGCUAUAGUGUUUAUACUAACAAAAUAACUCAGAAGUCUUUGUAAAAGGAACAGUUAUAUAGAACUCAGGUUUGAUAACAUCCGUAUAAAUUUAAGACUUCAAAACUAAUAAUCAUUUUUUUCAGGAUAAAAGACAUAAAAAUAACUGAAACAAAACAAACACCAUCAGAAAUGUGUUCCACAUAAAUGUGAUCAGCUAAGACUUUGUCAUAGUGAGAUGCCAGUUUAGUAAGCAUAAAAAGUAAUGUUUUGAUGUUUUCUUAAAUACAUGUACACACAGGUUACAAUAUUAUCAACUAUUGAAAAAAUAUUCUCAUGCAAAAACAUUCAAGAGACAUGCAUAUUAUAGAAUGGAAAACUAAAACUUAAAUACAAGAUAAAGUACAGUUAAACAAAGAGUUCAUAAAACAGGUUGUUUAUUUUAAGAAAUUGAUGUCAGACAGUAUUUUGCUUUUCAAAGUACUAUUAAAAUAACAAAAGCAUAGCUAACACAAAUCUUUGUAAGAUAUAUACUAAUGGCAAUUGUAUCUAAAAUAUAUAAAGGAGUCAAAAUAGAAAAAGACAGCACACAAAAAUGGAAAGGUAAUUUGAAUAGACAUUUAUCUCAGGGGCUAAAGGAUACAGAUUAGCACUCAAAAUGUUUUUUAACAUCACAUAUAAUAGGAAAGUGAAAUAAUAAGAUAGCACCACCAAAUACAUUCCCAAAGUAGCAAUACACAACAAUCAGGAUGCCCACACAUUGUGGAAAUAAUAAGGAAACCAACCUUAACAGUCACAAUGACAGCAUUUUCAACAAAUUAUGUAAAGGCAGACUCUUAAGAAGUACAAGGCUUCCUAGACAACUAGUCUGAAUUCAAAUGUAGGUAAGACAGUUAAGUACAAAAUAAUGUGAGAAUUUGGGAACACCACAACUAAUGGUAUAGUGUGGUUCUCUUUCAAAGGGUACUUUGUCAAAAGUACAAAUCUAUGCAUCAGACAGUAGAUUUUACUGUAUGUGAAAUGUAUAUAAUAAAACUUGUUCUGUGUCCUUUGUGAUUUGUGUAUUUGCUUGUGAUUAGUAUAGAAUAUUUAUGAAAUGUUCUGGUCCACAUUGGAUAUCUUUUCAUACCAAGCAAUUAUCAGACAUUAAACAUAGAAUUUUCUCCCAUUA